rnacentral:rRNA from 1 species
UGGGGAAUAUUGGACAAUGGGCGAAAGCCUGAUCCAGCCAUGCCGCGUGUGUGAAGAAGGUCUUCGGAUUGUAAAGCACUUUCAGUUGGGAGGAAGGGCAGUAAGCGAAUACCUUGCUGUUUUGACGUUACCGACAGAAUAAGCACCGGCUAACUCUGUGCCAGCAGCCGCGGUAAUACAGAGGGCGCAAGCGUUAAUCGGAAUUACUGGGCGUAAAGCGCGCGUAGGUGGUUCGUUAAGUUGAAUGUGAAAGCCCCGGGCUCAACCUGGGAACUGCAUCCAAAACUGGCGAGCUAGAGUAGGGCAGAGGGUGGUGGAAUUUCCUGUGUAGCGGUGAAAUGCGUAGAUAUAGGAAGGAACACCAGUGGCGAAGGCGACCACCUGGGCUCAUACUGACACUGAGGUGCGAAAGCGUGGGGAGCAAACAGG